rnacentral:rRNA from 1 species
UACGUAGGGUGCAAGCGUUGUCCGGAAUUAUUGGGCGUAAAGAGCUCGUAGGCGGUCUGUCGCGUCGGCUGUGAAAACCCGGGGCUCAACCCCGGGCCUGCAGUCGAUACGGGCAGACUAGAGUGUGGUAGGGGAGACUGGAAUUCCUGGUGUAGCGGUGAAAAUGCGCAGAUAUCAGGAGGAACACCAGAGGCGAAGGCGGCUAGCUGGAUAGGCACUGACACUCAACUACGAAAGCGUGGGGAGCAAAACAGG